UGGGGAAUAUUGGACAAUGGGCGAAAGCCUGAUCCAGCCAUGCCGCGUGUGUGAAGAAGGUCUUCGGAUUGUAAAGCACUUUAAGUUAGGAGGAAGGGUUGUAGAUUAAUACUCUGCAAUUUUGACGUUACCGACAGAAUAAGCACCGGCUAACUCUGUGCCAGCAGCCGCGGUAAUACAGAGGGUGCAAGCGUUAAUCGGAAUUACUGGGCGUAAAGCGCGCGUAGGUGGUUAGUUAAGUUGGAUGUGAAAUCCCCGGGCUCAACCUGGGAACUGCAUUCAAAACUGACUGACUAGAGUAUGGUAGAGGGUGGUGGAAUUUCCUGUGUAGCGGUGAAAUGCGUAGAUAUAGGAAGGAACACCAGUGGCGAAGGCGACCACCUGGACUGAUACUGACACUGAGGUGCGAAAGCGUGGGGAGCAAACAGGAUUAGAUACC
rnacentral:rRNA from 1 species